CCUACGGGAGGCAGCAGUGAGGAAUAUUGGUCAAUGGGCGAGAGCCUGAUCCAGCCAAGUCGCGUGAGGGAAGACGGUCCUAUGGAUUGUAAACCUCUUUUGUCGGGGAGCAAAAAGGCCUCGUGAGGCCACAAGUGAGAGUACCCGAAGAAAAAGCAUCGGCUAACUCCGUGCCAGCAGCCGCGGUAAUACGGAGGAUGCGAGCGGUAUUCGGAUGUAUUGGGUUAAAAGGGUGCGUAGGCGGACUGGAAAGUCAGCGGUAAAAUCGAGGGGCCCAACCGCUAUUCGCCGUUGAAACUGUCGGACUUGAGUGGACGAGAGGUAUGCGGAAUGCGUGGUGUAGCGGUGGAAUGCGUAGAUAUAACGCAGAACUCCGGUUGCGAAGGCAGCAUACCGGCGCCCAACUGACGCUGAGGCACGAAAGCAUGGGUAGCGAACAGGAGUAGAUACCCGAGUAGUC
rnacentral:rRNA from 1 species